GAUGAACGCUGGCGGCGUGCCUAGUACAUGCAAGUAGAACGCAAAGUUUAUACUGUAGCUUGCUACACAAUAAACUGUGAGUUGCGAACGGGCGAGUAACGCGUAGGUAACCUGCCUGGUCGCGGGGGAUAACUAUUGGCAACGAUAGCUAAUACAGCAUACUAUUGAUUAUUGCAUGAUAAUUGAUUGAAAGAUGAUAUUGCAUGACUACCAGAUGGACCUGCGUUGUAUUAGCUAGUAGGUGAGGUAACGGCUCACCUAGGCGACGAUACAUAGCCGCCCUGGAAAGGUGAUCGGCCAAACUGGGACGGGAGCACGGCCCCGAAUCCUACGGGAGGCAGCAGGAGGGAACCUUCGGCAAAGGACGAAAGUCUGACCGAGCAACGCCGCGGGAGUGAAUGAGGUUUUCGGAUCGUAAAACUCUGUUGUAAUAGAAGAACGGGUGUGAGAGUGGAAAGUUCACACUGUGACGGUAUCUUACCAGAAAGGGACGGCUAACUACGUG
rnacentral:rRNA from 1 species